GACGGGGACAAGCCAUCUCUCUCAGGCAGCCCUGUCCCCUCCUGGCUCCAGAAAGGGCAGCAUAGGCCCAGAAGCUGCAGGUGUGGACAGAAACGAGGUCUACCAGGCUCAGGGAGCGGAAGGCUCAGUGCAAACUUUCUGAGUGAGUGUCUGCAAGGCCCACCUAGCAUAGGAGUCCAGAGGAUGCUGCGUUGAGCCUGGAGCAGCUAUCCAGACCUGGUGUCCAGAGUGACCCAGCAGCUCCACACAGCAAGCUUCAGAGUUCAGCCAGACUGGUGCCCCUACCCCCACCCCCAGGCAGCGAGCGGCUGCAUCGUGGCCUCACUGGGGCACAGGGACAGUGCAGAAACCUUGAACAAACAUCCUGUCGUGCAUGGCCACCAUCCCGGGGUGCAUACAGAAAGAGGCCACCCCAGCCAUUAAGGGAUCAAGGUGACACAGGACAAGGCAGAGCUCUUCCCCAUUGAAAGAGGAUGGAGAAUACCUUCACUGCAUAGCAGUUUCCCCAGAGGAUGGAAGAUGCCACCAUGUGCCCCUGUGGGCUUUAAAGCUAUGUGCUAAGGUAUUGUGGGCUGCAGUGACCCUGAGUGCCCACUAGAGGUCACACCACAACUUCUUUAAAAGGAAUGGUUGGGUGGCCAGAUUGACAGUGCCUUGAGAUGGAGAACUAGACACCCUACAUAGGAGGUAGACUACAUCAGUGCCAGAUGACAGAUCAUGACCCCUCCAUGAGCCCCCAUUUGUAAUCUCAGUUCCCCCAUGAAAGCAUCCGCCCCUGCCCUCAUGGCUGGCUGACUGCUGUUUCCCACAGGAUGAGAAAAGGCUCGAAAGGAAAGGGGAAAUCUGGUGGAACCACCUGAUAUUUGCUUUAAAGUAUUUCGGGUCUGGAACUGGACCUCAGGGCUAAGGCACCUGCCUGGUGUCACCCCACCCCUGUAAAAACAAAACUGUCUCAG
rnacentral:lncRNA from 1 species